rnacentral:lncRNA from 1 species
AGUUUCUUCUUCUUCUUCUUGGUGGGGGAGUAGUCGCUACCUUCGCUCUCUGACUUCUCUUCCAGGUCCUCCUCGUUGUCUGACAUCUCGUCAUUGCUCCCCUGGAAAAGACAAGGGGAGCGGUGAGGGCGCAGGACACCCCAGAAUGCCGAAGACCUGGGGCAGCAAGGCCUGGUUAAGUUACUCGGCCACCAACUUUCUUCACCCAUUGUGCACUGGUGAAGGAGCACAAGCAGAGUAGAGAACUUCCAAUGAAGCAACAUCCCAUCAAUUAGCUGAGGUUGGACAUGUCACCAAUCAAUUAUUGUCGCUGAGGUCUUCCCUGCAGUCCGGCUGGGACAACCCCACCCAUAGGCUCUCUUAGGCUCUCCCGGAAGCUCAGCUCAGUCUCCCUCAUAGAAGACUGCACCUGUCACCUGCUAAUCGAUCACCAAGUCAGCACGCUGACAAGGUCUCCUUGCUUUCUCAGAAUACUGACUCUGCCCUGGACCCAAGGGGCAACUCCCAGCUCCCACACCUGUCGGUAACAUGGAACCCCACAGCCACAGUUCCCAGUGGAAUUCAGAUGGGGACAGUCCCUUCCCCCAAGGUAACAGAGACCAGCCAGCUCUUCAAGAUCAUGUCCAAGAGAUACAGAGAGAGAGAGAGAGAGAGAGAGAGAGAGAGAGAGAGAGAGAGAGAGAGAGAGAGAGAGAGAGAGCACACCAUACACUUCAGCACCACAGACAGCAGCUGCAACCUGAAUGGCCUGCCCAUGGAUCCUUGCUAGUCUGGGAUAUGUUCAAGUCAUUGUAACCACCUGAACUUAAACUCUCUCAACUGCACAGUGGUGAGAGAAACCAGGGAGAUUGUGCACACAGAGGCUGGUGUGGAUAGUCGUGCUCAGAGACUGGGGUAACUAGGGAGAACCAGUUGAUCACCGUGUGUCCUGGCAGGGAACUCAGACCAGAUCAGUCUGCAUUCAGAACCACAGAUGCCCUUUACUCCCGAUACAAGUGGACCACACCCAGGCAAGAGCAGCAACCCUCAAAUGCUGAUGAUGCUGACGGGGAAGCAGACGUUUUUCCACUGGGUCAUGGGUAGACAACUGUUGCCUGGUAGCUGCUCAGAGCCUCUAACUGGGAAGAAGACACUGCCAUACCCGGGGUAGUGCAAGAGGGGGGCAGAAGUGGCCAGCGCAGCUUAGAGCCAGAGGGAGAAGAGGGCACGAGGGAGGUGGGAAGGCGCCUCCAGCGGACUGAGAUGUCUAGCAGAAGCAGCAACAGCCUGUGCAAAGCACGGAUAAGGGGCGGGGCUUGCUAAAGCCGAAAGCCUGGCCUGGACAGGACUCAGCCAAGACACACUCCAGAGCUGGGUAGGAGGGCAGUGGGCAGAGCUGGAACCCAGCAGGCAGCGUGGAGCUCAGGCUAGAGGUCCCUUUUCUCCAUCCAUCUACCAAAGCAUAGGCAAGAUGUCUACCCACAGGGAGAGAGGACCCUAACCUGCAGCCCCGACCCCCAAGCCCUCCUCUCUUCUCCCCUGCCCUGCCUCUUCCCAAUAAAGCCAGCAUAUCCUGGGUCACCCCCACAGCCAUGCCGGCACACCACAGUGGAGUACAAGAUGAGUCUGAGUCCUGGCAGAACCUGAACCAGCUGUCCCCAUACUUCCUCCACUGGGCCUCCUCCUCUGCUGGCUGCACAUCAUAAAAACAUCCCGCCUCUCAGAGAAGACAGUGAGGAGGAAACACUGCAAGUGGAUUCGAAAAGCAUCCCCCACAGAGCAAUGUCAUAUGAAAGAGAAGAAGGGAAAAUUGACCCAGAACCACAGGGAGAGGGACCACACCAAAGGUAGCCAGCCCGGCCUCUGAGUUUGAGGUCAGCUGGUCUGUAUGCUAAAUUCCAGGCCACCUAGUGAGAUCCUGUUUUUAAAGAAGAGUCCGGUGAUAAGGAGGUGGGCCACACCCCAUUCAGGAAGGAGAGACAGACCUGUAAACCUCUCACAGAGCUCCCCAGCCAAUCUCAGUCAUCCUGAGGUCUGAGAGCAACCAAAGCACACAGAGGCUGUAAAAUCAGGAUGACAGUUGGACCUUGGCACCGUCCUUCAUGGGUGUAAAGGUCCGACCCUGGGCAUGACUGUGUAACAGAGCACUUGGGAACCUCAAGAGACACAUGCAAAGCACUUCAGAUGCCACACCCAGGUUGGAGCAAAGAGGGUUCUCUCUGCUCAGCCCCCCUUUUCCUGUUGAGAGCACAGCCAUGGCUGGUGGAGACCCCAAACAGUGAGUCCAACACAACCCCUUCUCCCUCCCUGAUCCACAAUUUCUGAAUCCAGGCCCUCCUAUCUUGCUCUCUCCCCACCCCCUUUCUAUGCCCAGCCCACAUCUUGUCUCCUGAAAAAGGG